rnacentral:rRNA from 1 species
AACGAACGCUGGCGGCAUGCCUAACACAUGCAAGUCGAACGAGACCUUCGGGGCUAGUGGCGCACGGGUUCGUAACGCGUGGGAACCUGCUCUUAGGUUCUGAAUAACUCCCCGAAAGGUGUGCUAAUACCGGAUAAUGUCUUCGGACCAAAGAUUUGUCGCCUUUGGAUGGGCUCGCGUUUGAUUAGCUAGUUGGUAGGGUAAAAGCCUACCUAGGCGUAGAUCCAUAGCUGGUCUGAGAGGAUGAUAAGCCACACUGGGACUGGGACACGACCCAGACUCGUACGGGAGGCAGGAGUGGGGAACAUUAGACGAUGGGCGAAAGUCUGAUCAAGCUAUGCCGCGUGAGUGAUGAAUGCCUUAGGGUUGUAACGCUCUUUUAGCCGAGAUGAUAGUGACAGUACCGGGAGAAUAAGCACCGGCUAACUCCGUG